CCUCGGCCUGGCUCCGCUUCGCUCGCCAUGAACAAUGCCUGCCCAUCCAUCACCCAUGAGGAGAGGGGAGCCGGGGAGAGAGAGGGCUACCGGCGGCUACGGCCUGGGGACCGGCCCGUGGCUCUGGCUGCUGGCCUGCUGCCUCUCUCUCUCUCUGCUGGAUGGCUCCUGCCACCACCCGCCCGGUUGGUUACUUCCCCCCAGCUAUUUAUAUCCCCCGCCCCUGUGGGCCGUUGCUCUCACUCCAAAGCAACUCUCUCCUCCUCAGUCUCUCUACACCUCGCUCUCAACCACCUGUGCUGCAUCCGGCCGGCAUCCCCUCUCGCAGUCUAUCUCUCUCCAUAGUCUGCCUCCCUCUCUUUUUCUUUCGGCGGUCGCUGUGGAGUCGAUGGCGACGAGGCGGAGAAUUGUGGUCUCUGUGUCGACCCCCUCCUCGCCGGACGGGGAAGGGAUGGAUAAAAGGUGCGCGGGCAUGCUUUCCACAGGCUUUCUUGAACUGUGAACUCGUGGGGGCAUGUCGGAUGAACGCAAAACCCCCCGCAAUUCUCUUCCCCCGUGAAUUGAGAAUUGCCGAGCUCUCUCGGCUCGCCAAAGGGCGGCUCUACCUGUUGAUGGUUCAAGAAAGCCCAUGGAAAUCAUGUUGCGGCCUCUUGUGUUCUUCUUCUAGCGGAGAAUUCUGUCGAUUCGGGUGCUUCCUCGACGGAAUUGUAUGUUCUUUCUCUGAAUUUGGGUGCUUUAUGGGUCUCUGGGGGGUAAUUCUGUGAGAAUUCAGGGAAUUUCGCUCCUCCUGAGAUCUCCAGCCAUCAGGUGCUUCUUGCACGCACGAAUUCCCUCGCGCCUGCUGGAGAAUUGCGGCGCAAAUUGUCUUCUGUGGUCGGAGAGAGUCAUGCCGAGGCUUUAGCUUGGUUUAAUUCAGUACAGGUUGGUUGUUACGAAAGAUUAAUCUGGAAGAAUUCAGAGUACCAGGGAAGUUUUCAUGGCGAGUCCGGAAUUGCUGUGCGACGACGUCCCGCUCCCGCAUGAAGAAUUCACAUCACAUCACAAUUCGCUUUAGAAGGUUUGGCUGAAGCAGUUUUCAGAUUUUUGUUCCACUGACGAAGCAAUCUUCAGACUUUUGUCCUGCAGGCACUCCGACGAGAACUGAAACACGCCCUGACGGCUUUGUUUCCGGAGCACAAGAAAUACAAUUCAUGUCCGCAGGGCAUAAUGCAGCAGCAUCUGUGGCCUUGCAAGCACCAUGUUCAAAAUUCAAAACCCCGAUAGAUCUGCGCUUGCCGUAAUCUGGACCUGACAGGCCCGUACUUGUCCGUUCAGAAGAACACAACUGGCCGGCAACAAAACUUGCAUUUUUUUUACUAAAUAUAUAUACAAUAUAUAUUUUGCUGAACAGAAACGGGCUGGAAGCUCCCUGCCAAA